UACGUAGGUGGCAAGCGUUGUCCGGAUUUAUUGGGUUUAAAGGGUGCGUAGGCGGUCCCAUAAGUCAGUGCUGAAAUAUCCCGGCUUAACCGGGAGGGUGGCAUUGAUACUGCGGGACUUGAGUGGAGUUGAAGUGGGCGGAAUUGACGGUGUAGCGGUGAAAUGCUUAGAUAUCGUCAAGAACACCGAUAGUGAAGACAGCUCACUAAGCUCAAACUGACGCUGGGGCACGAAAGUGUGGGGAUCAAACAGG
rnacentral:rRNA from 1 species